rnacentral:rRNA from 1 species
AGCAGUAGCCACGGGAAUACAGAGGGUGCGAGCGUUAAUCGGAUUUACUGGGCGUAAAGCGUGCGUAGGCGGCUUCUUAAGUCGGAUGUGAAAUCCCUGAGCUUAACUUAGGAAUUGCAUUCGAUACUGGGAAGCUAGAGUAUGGGAGAGGAUGGUAGAAUUCCAGGUGUAGCGGUGAAAUGCGUAGAGAUCUGGAGGAAUACCGAUGGCGAAGGCAGCCAUCUGGCCUAAUACUGACGCUGAGGUACGAAAGCAUGGGGAGCAAACAGGAUUAGAUACCGAGUAGUCCCUGUCUCUUAUACA